rnacentral:rRNA from 1 species
UACGGAGGGUGCAAGCGUUAUCCGGAUUCACUGGGUUUAAAGGGUGCGUAGGUGGGCAGGUAAGUCAGUGGUGAAAUCUCCGGGCUUAACCCGGAAACUGCCAUUGAUACUAUCUGUCUUGAAUACCGUGGAGGUGAGCGGAAUAUGUCAUGUAGCGGUGAAAUGCUUAGAUAUGACAUAGAACACCAAUUGCGAAGGCAGCUCACUACGCGAAUAUUGACACUGAGGC